rnacentral:tRNA from 2 species
GGUCUCGUAGCUCAGUUGGUUAGAGUGCCGGCCUGUCACGCCGGAGGUCGCGGGUUCGAGUCCCGUCGGGACCG